AGUGAACGCUGGCGGUAGGCCUAACACAUGCAAGUCGAACGGCAGCACAGUAAGAGCUUGCUCUUACGGGUGGCGAGUGGCGGACGGGUGAGGAAUACAUCGGAAUCUACUUUUUCGUGGGGGAUAACGUAGGGAAACUUACGCUAAUACCGCAUACGACCUACGGGUGAAAGCAGGGGAUCUUCGGACCUUGCGCGAUUGAAUGAGCCGAUGUCGGAUUAGCUAGUUGGCGGGGUAAAGGCCCACCAAGGCGACGAUCCGUAGCUGGUCUGAGAGGAUGAUCAGCCACACUGGAACUGAGACACGGUCCGGACUCCUACGGGAGGCAGCAGUGGGGAAUAUUGGACAAUGGGCGCAAGCCUGAUCCAGCCAUACCGCGUGGGUGAAGAAGGCCUUCGGGUUGUAAAGCCCUUUUGUUGGGAAAGAAAAGCAGCAGGUUAAUACCCCGCUGUUCUGACGGUACUCAAAGAAUAAGCACCGGCUAACUUCGUG
rnacentral:rRNA from 1 species